CAGUUUCCACAAAAGCUAAUUCCUGUAAGAUAUAUAGCUAGCUGAAUUCAUCAUUGUGAAUUCAAUUUCUUUGUGAUUUGCCAUGAAUUGCAUUAUGUGCAGCUUGCAGAAUAAUGGCUGUGCGCCAGGCCAGAAAGUUUUUCUAUCCUCAUUUUCUACAUUAAUUCAUAGUUCUACCCUUCCUAGCUUCCCUAUAAACCUAAAUCCCAUGCCAGAAAAGCUGUUCUGUCAUAUCCUCUCUCAAUGACAUUCUUUUUAUUCUCUCUGUCUCAUGCUCUAUAUUAGUUCUGCCAUUUGAGUAACUUGAUCUAAUAAGAGUUUUUUUCUUAUUGUGACUGGUAUUAUUAUAUGGUAACAUGCUUUUAAUAAAUUGACAAAAGCAAAUAACAUUACUCUUCUAUUAUGAGUACAAAGUUCGAGCAUUUAAACUAAAUAAAAGGUUGCCAUUUUUAUCUUUAUGUUUAGAAUGCAGGGAUGCGUCUUUAUGGG
rnacentral:misc_RNA from 1 species